UACGUAGGGUGCAAGCGUUAUCCGGAAUUAUUGGGCGUAAAGAGCUCGUAGGCGGUUUGUCGCGUCUGCUGUGAAACCCCGAGGCUCAACCUCGGGCCUGCAGUGGGUACGGGCAGACUAGAGUGCGGUAGGGGAGAUUGGAAUUCCUGGUGUAGCGGUGGAAUGCGCAGAUAUCAGGAGGAACACCGGUGGCGAAGGCGGGUCUCUGGGCCGAUACUGACGCUGAGGAGCGAAAGCGUGGGGAGCAAACAGG
rnacentral:rRNA from 1 species